UACGAAGGGGGCUAGCGUUGCUCGGAAUCACUGGGCGUAAAGGGUGCGUAGGCGGGUCUUUAAGUCAGGGGGUGAAAUCCUGGAGCUCAACUCCAGAACUGCCUUUGAUACUGAGGAUCUUGAGUUCGGGAGAGGUGAGUGGAACUGCGAGUGUAGAGGUGAAAUUCGUAGAUAUUCGCAAAGAACACCAGUGGCGAAGGCGGCUCACUGGCCCGAUACCUGACGCUGAGGCACGAAAGCGUGGGGAGCAAAGCAGG
rnacentral:rRNA from 1 species